rnacentral:rRNA from 1 species
GACGAACGCUGGCGGCGCGCCUAACACAUGCAAGUCGAACGGAGAAAGAAACAGCUUGCUGGAUCUUUCUUAGUGGCGGACGGGUGAGUAACACGUGAGCAACCUGCCCCUCAGAGUGGAAUAACGUUUGGAAACGAACGCUAAUACCGCAUAACACCAUUGGAUGGCAUCAUCCGAUGGUCAAAGAUUUAUCGCUGAGGGAUGGGCUCGCGUCCGAUUAGGUAGUUGGUGAGAUAACAGCCCACCAAGCCGACGAUCGGUAGCCGGACUGAGAGGUUGAACGGCCACAUUGGGACUGAGACACGGCCCAG